GACGAACCGUGCGAACGUUGUUCGGAAUCACUGGGCUUAAAGGGUGUGUAGGCGGUCUGCCAAGUCAGGGGUGAAAUCCUUCGGCUCAACCCGGGAGAACUGCCCCUGAUACUGGCGGGCUCGAGGGAGAUAGAGGCAGCCGGAACUACCGGUGGAGCGGUGGAAAUGACGUUGAUAUCGGUAGGAACGCCAGAGGCGAAAGCGGGCUGCUGGAUCGUCUUCUGACGCUGAGACACGAAAAGCGUGGGGAGCGAACGAGGA
rnacentral:rRNA from 1 species